rnacentral:rRNA from 1 species
UCGAUCAGCGAUUCUGGUGCGUGCGCGGUUCGCGAUGCAGCGUGACCUCGGUCGCGCGGCACGCGUCCGCGCAUGAAUAUAUUGCCAGGUGUCGUCGGCAUGCACUUCUCCCCUAGUAGAACGUCGCGACCCGUUGGGUGUCGGUCUACGGUCCGGAUGGUAGCCUGUCGUGCGUCGCGCCUCGUGCAGUGUUUCCCGGAUGUGCGGACCUAGCACCGUCACCGGGCCUGGCUAGAUGUUUGCCGGCGGUGUCCUGGGACAGGCUCGCAAAUUAUGAUACCGGUCGGCGACGCUACUGCUUUGGGUACUUUCAGGACCCGUCUUGAAACACGGACCAAGGAGUCUAACAUGUGCGCGAGUCAUUGGGAGCUCUGAAGCCUAAAGGCGCAAUGAAAGUGAAGGUCGGCCUUGCGCCGACCGAGGGAGGAUGGGCCGCGUCACGAUGCGGUCCCGCACUCCCGGGGCGUCUCGUUCUCAUUGCAAGAAGAGAUGCACCCAGAGCGUACACGUUGGGACCCGAAAGAUGG